GAGAGCCCGCCUGUCAAGAAAAACGUAGGGAAGGACUAUUACCCCAGCACAGCAAGAGCUGUUUAGGGAAUAAGAUAAGUACAUUUUGAAAACAAGAAACAACUGUUUUCUCCUAAGAGAAACUUGGACGUUCCUGAGAAGUGAGCAAGUGGGAGGCUGAAGUUGACGAAGCGGUGAAAGAUUUCUAGGAUAUUUCCCCCAUGUUUCAGUGGUAAGCAGCCCUCCAGACAGACAUGGGUUGUUGUGUUAGUGGGACCGGUGCUGAGGAGGGAGACGAGAAGCCCACCGAGCCAAAUGGGUGCAAGACGUGCUGCCUGAAGACCAGAAGCUGCCUGAUGAGUGGAGAGUGCGGACGAGCCCUACAGAUUGCCAGUGUCUGUGCUAUGUGUGGAAUGUGCAUCCGCAUGUUUGUCUAGGCAGAACUCCAUGCAGCAGUGAAUGUGAAUGGAGGAGGAAUGUCUGCCAUCCAAAUGAAUCCCCUUCACUGCCUAUUGAGUUAAUUCAGAGACUCGGAAAUGGCGGACAUUAAACAUCACUCAAAGUGAACACCUGAUCGAAGUCUAGUUAACUACUUCCAAGGACUGGAAAACGACUUGCCACUGUUCCCUCAGCAUCUCAUUCUCUCUAAAGUGUUACUAAGGCAAAGGCAGAGAUCCUGGUGCAUUGUGGUUCAUUUCAGCUGGACAUGUGUACAGCCAUGCAUACUCACUGCAAGGGACUUGGAGAGGGUGGAGGGCAUGGCACCACAAACUUUACUUGUCAACCACAAAAAGUCUGAAUAGAUUUCGCCACAUCCGUCUGCCUCAUGUUCACUCGGGCAGUCGGAAUUCAGUUCUACUCUUGUUGCCAUGGCAGCUGCACAGAGAGCUGUGUACAAUAGGACACGCUGCUCUCCAAUCUGUGGGUCAGCUGGAAUCCACCCAGGUUACAAAACAGAGACACUCCUUGGACCUGCCUUAUGCCUUACAACCAAUGGAGACUCUGCCUCAGAGCCGCCUUGUGCCGGACAGCCAAUUGAGACUUGGAACCAAUUGAGACUCCAUUGUGAGGUGGCCGAGAGCAGCCCCAAGAAGAGAAAAUCCAUGUUCUGGGACUCAGCCAGGUGACUAACGAGAGCACCUGACCACACUUUGGUUAGAUGGGAAACAAUCAGCCCAGGAGCCACCUGAUUGGCUACAGAUGGGGACAACACCUAGGGGCAUUCUCUGCGCUGCCUUCCAACAAAUGGAAAACUCUGGACACGCCACUGGGAAGCUGAGCAGGAAGGAACGUCUGGUCUGUCUCGUAGCUCCUGCCUAAACUUGUUUUUAUUUUAAAAUGGCAUGCCUUUAAUGAAUAGUACCCUGUCCUACUGCCCCCGGGGCCUGGAAUACGCAGAGGUGGAAUGUCUAGAACACGAGUCACCAUUCAACAUGAGUCGUUUUGAUGAUAUGUCCGUUCUACUCAUUCUAUUUCUAUGUAGUUCACUCUAUUCUUAUAGGUGAAAACCAGCUAGGUAACAUUUCAAAUACCAAUCCCUUGUUGUCCUAGCAUUCCCUGAUCAUCAGCCGGGCAGGGACCAGGCAGUAAAUACGCCCCAACAUGAACUCCACCCAUUGUUCAAGUCAUCAAGCAGCUUUCUGAAAACUGGAGGAGCAAGGUAACAAAUUGAGACCAGCAAAGAGUCUGCGUGUGUGUGCGUGCGUGCGUGCAGGCAAGUAGGCGGACAGACAUAGGUAGACUGAGAUGAAGAAACAGAUUUAUAUAGAGGGAAGAGCAACAAGUGUCAUCCUGUGUGUGCAUCUCAAUGAGUCUCUGGUUAGGAAGUCCAGAGAUAGAGGACUUUAAAAGGAUGUAACCUUUUUUAGCAUCGGCUUUGCAAUUUAGGGCUUUUUUUUAAGUAUUCCGCAGGUGGGGUUUGCUUUUGGUUGGGAGCGAUCGGCCAGUGAACAGGGCAUGGUUAAUGAAUGGGUUUAAGCUAAAUCAUCCUCUGGUGGCCACAAUGAAUACAAUAGAUAUGGAAAAGAGGGUUUUGAAGAUGAACUGUAACUUCGAUUUCCUGUUUUACAAAUUUUCAGAACAUGAACGGAUGUAUUUGAAAAGGGUUGAAGUCAGUCUGCUUGAUAACCCUAAUCAUACAAUAACUGCUUUGAACAGUUCUCAAUCUGUGCAUCCUCUAUUGCCAUGCACCUUAUUGUGGUUUUUAUUAAAUGGAAACUGUUACAAUGAAGGUUAUUUAGAGAGUUAACACUGUCCCUUUUGGCGUGAAAAGUUUUCAUUAUGUCUUUUUAGAUGCUCACAUUUUUACUGCGUUCAGAUACUUAUGACUUUGUGUACUGCAGGGCAAUUUUAACUCGUGUCCUGGAAGGCUGAAACACUUCUAAUUUUUGUCCUCUUUCUAAUAAGGCACUGAGUCAGACCUAUGACACCAGGUGAUUGUGAUUAACUACCAGGCAAAAAGGAAAAAAGAGUGAAGUGUUCCGGUCCUCCAGUUGAAUAGCCCAGGUAUACGUUGUGCAGAGGACACUAUUAAUUUAAUCAUGGCUGUGUCCCAAAUGAAGCCAUAUUCCCUAGUUUACUACUUUCACCCUGGUCAAAAUUAAUGUGCAAUAUAGGGAAUAAAAUACCAUUUGGGCCUCGUGUCAGCCUUCUGAUUGUAGCUGCCGAUUUUCCGUCGUCCUAUCACGGUCUUGUUGACAUUGUUAUUUCUGAAUAAAGAAUUACCAACAGUUA